UGCCUGGAGUGAAGAUUCUGCCCAUUGGUCAAGAGACCUCCCUCUCAGAUGCUGGCUCUGCCCCUGCCUUUGGGGGUCGACCCUUGUACUCGCAGGACCUUAGGUGACUCUGACUUUGUCAAAGGAAAAAUUUCUGCAUGUGCACACACAGAUCUUGGAAGUUUAUUCAUCUCAGCAGAGGCAGACAGGAGCAUCAACAGCCUUGGGGACAGCAGCAGUGGUGAAAACUCGGGAAAUAUCAAAAACUUCCAAAAAAUAUAGAGAAUCAGAAAAAGCGGCCGGAUGCAGUGGCUUACACCUGUAAUACCAGCACUUUGGAAGGCCAAGGUGGGUGGAUCACCUGAGAUCAAGAAUUCGAAAACAGCCUGGCCAACAUGGCAAAACCCCCAUCUGUACCAAAAAUACAAAAAUUAGCCUGGCGUUGCAGCAGGCGCCUGUAAUCCCAGCUACUCAGGGAGGCUGAGGCAUGAGAAUUGCUUAAACCCGGGAGGCAGAGGUUGCAGUGAGCCGAGAUCGCACCACUGCACUCCAGCCAAGGUGACAGAGCAAGACCUCUUCUCAAAAAAGAAAAAGCACCCAUAAUUCCAACUGAAAGUUAACUACAUUCUAUAUUUUGUCAUAAUUUGUUUUCCAUCACCUUUUUGUAUUUACAUUUAUUUUACA
rnacentral:antisense_RNA from 1 species